rnacentral:lncRNA from 1 species
CAGCCAGCGUCGGGGAGGGAUAAGUUGGUCGCGCGGUGCGUCGGAUAUAUUCCACAAUUGGUGAGUCCGUCUGUUAUUGUAGCGUUAGCAUUUAGCAUGUAUCAAUGCAUUUAUAUGGACUGGCUAAGGCACACCUAGCUUUUAAAUGCUAACGCUGGCCUCUGAAUCCAUAUGAUUUGAUGAAUGUUGACCUGUUAUUUAAAGAAAAUUGAGAAGAUUUGUCAUGAUUAUUAAUGAAGAACUGAUUUAAAUGUGUUUAAAUCAAAUUCACUUUAUUGAGGAAUAAUUAUUCUGUUGUUGUUCAUGUCUAAUGUUGCCCAUGAACUAUCAAAUGAUUUAUUAACUAUUGUGUACACUGAAUAUAAUGUGGUCCUGUUUACAUUAUACAGGCCAGGGUGCCUGUAAGGACGCAGAACUGAAUCGAUGGCGAGCUACGACACUGGCCUGAGCUGAGCAAUCCUGGUUAAAAGCCUCUCCUGGUCUGAUAGGAGGCUUUGGCAGCCUUGUUUCCCCCCUCACCUUCUUUCACACCCCCACACACACGCACUUGCACUUUACGGCCAUGGACUAUUAACAUCUCACACUCUGCCUUUGCAGCACACAUG